UACGGAGGGUGCAAGCGUUGUCCGGAUUUAUUGGGUUUAAAGGGUGCGUAGGCGGUCUUUUAAGUCAGUGGUGAAAUCCUCCAGCUUAACUGGAGAACUGCCAUUGAUACUGGGAGACUUGAGUACAGACGAGGUAGGCGGAAUUGACAGUGUAGCGGUGAAAUGCAUAGAUAUUGUCAAGAACACCGAUUGCGAAGGCAGCUUACUAGACUGUAACUGACGCUGAGGCACGAAAGUGUGGGGAGCAAACAGG
rnacentral:rRNA from 1 species